AUUGAACGCUGGCGGCAGGCCUAACACAUGCAAGUCGAGCGGAUGAAGGGAGCUUGCUCCUGGAUUCAGCGGCGGACGGGUGAGUAAUGCCUAGGAAUCUGCCUGGUAGUGGGGGAUAACGUCCGGAAACGGGCGCUAAUACCGCAUACGUCCUGAGGGAGAAAGUGGGGGAUCUUCGGACCUCACGCUAUCAGAUGAGCCUAGGUCGGAUUAGCUAGUUGGUGGGGUAAAGGCCUACCAAGGCGACGAUCCGUAACUGGUCUGAAAGGAUGAUCAGUCACACUGGAACUGAGACACGGUCCAGACUCCUACGGGAGGCAGCAGUGGGGAAUAUUGGACAAUGGGCGAAAGCCUGAUCCAGCCAUGCCGCGUGUGUGAAGAAGGUCUUCGGAUUGUAAAGCACUUUAAGUUGGGAGGAAGGGCAGUAAGUUAAUACCUUGCUGUUUUGACGUUACCAACAGAAUAAGCACCGGCUAACUUCGU
rnacentral:rRNA from 1 species